CUGGUCUUGCUUCAGUUCGGUCUUCUCUGAUUUCUCCUGCAACCGCUGGAGGACUUCAACUGUUGUACUAGAUGAUGAUGUCUCUGCAUAGCUCUUCAAUCUACGCCUCUUCGCACUAUCCCUACCCUCAGGCCGUGUUGUGUCUAUAUUCUCAUUCCCAGAUUCUGCAUGGCCGGCUACAGUAUGGCCUUGAGUUGAAGGAGGUUCCAUUCGAUCAGGUGAUGUAGAGUUGUUUAGCUCAAGAAACUUAUUGUUCCAUUUGGCCUCGUUGCGAAGUAGUUUCCAACAAUGCAUGAAGGUAAAAGGUUAUGUCUUCUCGAUAAUAUGAGUGAAAGUAUACCCGAUCCUGCUCAUUUUUUCCGCUCUCAUUUAGCCUAUCAACAGCUGCUUUGUGCCCACAGAACUUGUUUAUCGCUUUCUGAAUCAAUGCCCACCUGUGCUGAAUAGCAAUCUGGCUACGGUUGGACCCUUCAGGUUUGUGCUCAUUGAAAUAAUCACGCAUCCUCUUGUAAUAACCACUUGAAGUUUGAUUCACACCUGCAUGGUCUUUGCUAAUAUUCAGAAAUGCUGAACACACCACCAUGUCCUCCUCUUUGGUGAAUGCAAUUCCUCUCCUGGACACCUUCUUCUU
rnacentral:sRNA from 1 species